GAUGAACGCUGGCGGCGUGCCUAAUACAUGCAAGUCGAGCGAACGGACGAGAAGCUUGCUUCUCUGAUGUUAGCGGCGGACGGGUGAGUAACACGUGGAUAACCUACCUAUAAGACUUGGAUAACUUCGGGAAACCGGAGCUAAUACCGGAUAAUAUUUUGAACCGCAUGGUUCAAAAGUGAAAGACGGUCUUGCUGUCACUUAUAGAUGGAUCCGCGCUGCAUUAGCUAGUUGGUAAGGUAACGGCUUACCAAGGCAACGAUGCAUAGCCGACCUGAGAGGGGGAUCGGCCACACUGGAACUGAGACACGGUCCAGACUCCUACGGGAGGCGGCAGUAGCGAAUCUUCCGCAAUGGGCGAAAGCCUGACGGAGCAACGCCGCGUGAGUGAUGAAGGUCUUCGGAUCGUAAAACUCUGUUAUUAGGGAAGAACAUAUGUGUAAGUAACUGUGCACAUCUUGACGGUACCUAAUCAGAAAGCCACGGCUAACUACGUG
rnacentral:rRNA from 1 species